UACGGGGGGGGCAAGCGUUGUUCGGAAUUACUGGGCGUAAAGGGCGCGUAGGCGGCCUGCUAAGUCGGAUGUGAAAUCCCUCGGCUCAACCGAGGAACUGCAUCCGAUACUGGCGGGCUUGAAUCCGGGAGAGGGAUGUGGAAUUCCAGGUGUAGCGGUGAAAAUGCGUAGAUAUCUGGAGGAACACCGGUGGCGAAGGCGGCAUCCUGGACCGGUAUUGACGCUGAGGCGCGAAAGCUAGGGGAGCAAACGGG
rnacentral:rRNA from 1 species